rnacentral:misc_RNA from 1 species
GUGAAUCAUCGAAUCUUUGAACGCAAAUUGCACUUCCUGGUAUUCCGGAAAGUAUGCCUGUUUGAGGGUCAGUUAAAUAAAAAUCGGUGUUGUUGCUGUCUUUCGUUGUUACGCGUCGGAAUUGGGUCGUCUUACCUUCGGUUAAGUGACUUAAAAUUCUUGCACGAUUUUUGAACGUAUUUAUAUCGUUUACGUACGUUUGAGAUAUCGACUGCUUAUUAGGUUUGGUCAUUCCCAUGAUUGGCGGCUAUAAUUUUUCAUUAAAUGAAUUCAAAUCAGGU